AUACGUAGGGUGCGAGCGUUAAUCGGAAUUACUGGGCGUAAAGCGUGCGCAGGUGGUUUUGUAAGUCAGAUGUGAAAUCCCCGGGCUUAACCUGGGAACUGCGUUUGAAACUGCAAGGCUAGAGUGUGGCAGAGGGGGGUGGAAUUCCGCGUGUAGCAGUGAAAUGCGUAGAGAUGUGGAGGAACACCGAUGGCGAAGGCAGCCCCCUGGGUCAGCACUGACGCUCAGGCACGAAAGCAUGGGGAGCAAACAGGAUUAGAUACCCCGGUAGUCC
rnacentral:rRNA from 1 species